rnacentral:rRNA from 1 species
ACCUGCGGAGGGAUCAUUACUGAGUUUACGCUCUAUAACCCUUUGUGAACAUACCUAUAACUGUUGCUUCGGCGGGUAGGGUCUCCGCGACCCUCCCGGCCUCCCGCCUCCGGGCGGGUCGGCGCCCGCCGGAGGAUAACCAAACUCUGAUUUAACGACGUUUCUUCUGAGUGGUACAAGCAAAUAAUCAAAACUUUUAACAACGGAUCUCUUGGUUCUGGCAUCGAUGAAGAACGCAGCGAAAUGCGAUAAGUAAUGUGAAUUGCAGAAUUCAGUGAAUCAUCGAAUCUUUGAACGCACAUUGCGCCCGCCAGCAUUCUGGCGGGCAUGCCUGUUCGAGCGUCAUUUCAACCCUCAAGCUCUGCUUGGUGUUGGGGCCCUACAGCUGAUGUAGGCCCUCAAAGGUAGUGGCGGACCCUCCCGGAGCCUCCUUUGCGUAGUAACUUUACGUCUCGCACUGGGAUCCGGAGGGACUCUUGCCGUAAAACCCCCCAAUUUUCCAAAGGUUGACCUCGGAUCAGGUAGGAAUACCCGCUGAACUUAAGCAUAUCA